rnacentral:rRNA from 1 species
CCUACGGGAGGCAGCAGUGGGGAAUAUUGCACAAUGGGGGAAACCCUGAUGCAGCGACGCCGCGUGAGUGAAGAAGUAAUUCGUUAUGUAAAGCUCUAUCAGCAGGGAAGAAAAUGACGGUACCUGAGUAAGAAGCCCCGGCUAACUACGUGCCAGCAGCCGCGGUAAUACGUAGGGGGCAAGCGUUAUCCGGAUUUACUGGGUGUAAAGGGAGCGUAGACGGCAGUGCAAGUCUGGAGUGAAAGGCGGGGGCUCAACCCCCGGACUGCUCUGGAAACUGUACGGCUGGAGUGCAGGAGAGGUAAGUGGAAUUCCUAGUGUAGCGGUGAAAUGCGGAGAUAUUAGGAGGAACACCAGUGGCGAAGGCGGCUUACUGGACUGUAACUGACGUUGAGGCUCGAAAGCGUGGGGAGCAAACAGGAUUAGAUACCCCGGUAGUC